AUACUUACCUGGCAGGGGAGAUACCAUGAUCACAAAGGUCAUUUUCUUACAGUGAGACUCAUCCAUUGCACUCCAGAUGCAGAACCCUGCGAUUUCCCCAAAUGUGGGAAACUUGACUGCCUAAUGUGUGGUAGUCGGGGACUGAAUUCACAAUCUCCCC